rnacentral:rRNA from 1 species
ACGGGAGGCAGCAGUGAGGAAUAUUGGUCAAUGGUCGAGAGACUGAACCAGCCAAGUAGCGUGAAGGAUGACUGCCCUAUGGGUUGUAAACUUCUUUUGUUCGGGAAUAAAGUGCCGCACGUGUGCGGUUUUGUAUGUACCGUUCGAAUAAGCAUCGGCUAAUUCCGUGCCAGCAGCCGCGGUAAUACGGAAGAUGCGAGCGUUAUCCGGAUUUAUUGGGUUUAAAGGGAGCGUAGGCCGUGCUUUAAGCGUGUUGUGAAAUGUAGGCGCCCAACGUCUGCACUGCAGCGCGAACUGGAGCACUUGAGUACGCAGGAAGUAGGCGGAAUUCGUCGUGUAGCGGUGAAAUGCUUAGAUAUGACGAAGAACUCCGAUUGGGAAGCCAGCUUACUGUAGCGCCACUGACGCUGAUGCUCGAAAGCGUGGGUAUCGAACAGGAUUAGAUACCCUGGUA